rnacentral:rRNA from 1 species
UACGGAGGGUGCGAGCGUUGUCCGGAAUCACUGGGCGUAAAGGGCGCGUAGGCGGCCUGAUAAGUAGGGGGUGAAAUCCUGCGGCUUAACCGCAGGGCUGCCUUCUAAACUGUCAGGCUCGAGCACAGUAGAGGCAGAUGGAAUUCCCGGUGUAGCGGUGGAAUGCGUAGAGAUCGGGAAGAAUACCAGUGGCGAAGGCGUUCUGCUGGGCCGUUGCUGACACUGAGGCGCGACAGCGUGGGGAGCAAACAGG